rnacentral:rRNA from 1 species
GCAUAUCAAUAAGCGGAGGAAAAGAAACCAACAGGGAUUGCCCUAGUAACGGCGAGUGAAGCGGCAACAGCUCAAAUUUGAAAUCUGGCUUCGGCCCGAGUUGUAAUUUGUAGAGGAAGCUUUUGGCGCGGCACCUUCUGAGUCCCCUGGAACGGGGCGCCAGAGAGGGUGAGAGCCCCGUAUAGUUGGAUGCCUAGCCUCUGUAAAGCUCCUUCGACGAGUCGAGUAGUUUGGGAAUGCUGCUCAAAAUGGGAGGUAAAUUUCUUCUAAAGCUAAAUACCGGCCAGAGACCGAUAGCGCACAAGUAGAGUGAUCGAAAGAUGAAAAGCACUUUGAAAAGAGGGUUAAAUAGUACGUGAAAUUGUUGAAAGGGAAGCGCUUGUGACCAGACUUGCGCCGGGCUGAUCAUCCGGUGUUCUCACCGGUGCACUCUGCCCGGCUCAGGCCAGCAUCGGUUCUCGCGGGGGGAUAAAGGUCCCGGGAAUGUAGCUCCUCCGGGAGUGUUAUAGCCCGGGGCGCAAUGCCCUCGCGGGGACCGAGGUUCGCGCUCUGCAAGGAUGCUGGCGUAAUGGUCAUCAGCGACCCGUCUUGAAACACGGACC